CAUCAUCGUCUGUCACAAGGACGGGGACAUGCACGGUGGUGAACUCUGUGCCACCACCAGAAGAGUCUGCAUGUGACAUCAGCGUGGCACAGCCAUGGCACGGUGUCAUAGUCAUUGUGCAUCGUUUUGGCAGCUGGCGUCGGGUGUCACCGUCAUGAGGGGGGACAGAAGGACCCCGUGGGGACAUUGCGCCAAAGCUGAGGACACCUUCCUGGCACCCUGGUGGUGUCACAUCCCGGAGUUGGGGACACCCCCACCGUCUCAGACUCCAGAGUUGGGGACACACCCCUAAGGGGACCCCAUCUGUGCCCUCCCCCACAGACCACAUUGUUUCCAUGGGGCGGGGGUGACCCCCCUUACCUUUGUAAUUAAGGUUUAUUUUUUGGCACGUCGUAGUGCCGACGCUCCUGAAGACGAAUGAGCCGGUUCCUCAGGAGGUGACAAUCCAAGAGGACGCUCUCUGGCACGCAGCGCUGCACCACGUGCGGCGGGACAGCGGAGGCUCACGCGAGCCAGGUAGACCUGGAUGCAGAUUGCAAUCCGCCCGGCAGAGACCUCUGGUCGCCUACGCGGACCGGACGAGCCGCUCGGGGCCGGGUAGACCGUGUGCAGUCCGGACUCCGCUGCGGAGCGACCGGGUCGGUUGUCUGUGGUUCGUUCGUUCAAUUCGUCCGCACGCCGGGCUCGCCCCGAGCCUCUCUCCCGGCGGGAGGGCAGCACACUGGGCGGACAGACAGUCGCUCGAAGGCGGGGGGGAGAGAGGAAGGUGAAAGAUGGAAAGACGAGUGAGCGACUACAGGCGUGAGGACGAAUGCGUCCAUCCUCGCACACCCGCAGCCCCGGUGCGGCCCGGCCCGGCACCUCCAAAGAAAAAAGAAGAAAGAAAUGGAAAGAAUGCGCGUGGCGGGCUGGGGGUGGAAAUCUGGACAGCUUCCCAGCCCCCUUGCCGAGAGCUCCACCGCGGUCACCACCAUUGCCUCUGGAGCGACGCGAGCAUUGAGCACUAGGGGGGUGAAAAGAACAGUGCACGGAGUGUUACGGGCUGAG
rnacentral:lncRNA from 1 species